ensembl:lncRNA
AUAGAUUUUUAGUUGUUGUAGACUUGCAGUUUUAUGAAGCAUUUAGAAAAACAAGCACAUAGAAAAAUUUUUUAAACAGUUAUUAAAAAGUUAUAAAAUAGAGCAUUUUUAAAUGCAUCUUUUUCUCAAUGAACAUAAGCAGGAAAAAUAGUUUAUAAGCAUUUUUCAAGGAUGGUUUGUAAAUAUUUUUCAAGGAUAUUGGGUGUGUUUGGCCAUAGGUUUUACAUUGCUUCCCAUUUCAAAACAAGCAAUGACAACAUCCGUAGUUGCAUCCGAGGAUGUCACACCUAGGUGCUCCUUGCAUAUGCAAACCCGGGAAAUAAUGGUGAGAAAUCACUCUUGCUCCCCAGUCCACAAAGGAACAAGUUAUUCAGCACCUGCUCUGAAAAAUCUGGAAAAGAUGAAUGGAAAUGUGGAAGUCAGUGCCUUGCCUCCUCGGCAGGUGAACUCUGUGACUGCGGCAGCGUUUCCUCCCUCCCUGCCUGCCUCCCUCUCUCCCUGCCUGUGUGCUGGGAAGUUCCAGUGAAAUACUGCUGCUCUGGAAAGUCCUGUUCACAGGAGGAGACGUGACCUCUCAGCGAGUCAGAUCCAAUUUUACGGGCGGCUCUGAGUCAGGGUGGAGCCCGAGCACUGAACUUUGUCUUUAGGAGGAAGUGAUGUUGGUGGCAGCCCGUGUUGCUAAGCAGAUGAGUUGCAGUGUUUUUAUUUCAGCUGAUACUUUUGGCGGGGGUGUGACUUCAUUCUUAGAUAUGAUGCCUUCCAUUUAUUAAGGACAAAGGUCAGGAAUUGCCAGUGCUGCGAUAGCUGUGGCUCUCCAUGUGAGAAGAGGCACAUUCUGCUGAGCCGUCAAAGAUGGAAAUGGGAGUCCUUAACUCUGCUCCUGCAUGGUGAGAACAAAACCAACCCUGAAGCUGUCAGCUCAUGUCACGGUCCAAGAGCAAACGUCCUCACCAGCAGGGAUGAUGAGGAGUAGGUCAGUUCUGUGGCUUUGCUCCGUUUUUAUAAGAAAUCACUACUGUUCCUUAUUAAAGUGGCCUGGUCUUGUCUCCAGUAGUAGUGAGAACCAGAAGCCUCAGAAGACCUUGGUGAAGAACGGGGAGUGUAUUCUACUGCACCACCAUGUGCUAUCAGCUUUUCACUGCAUUUUUCAGCUGAAAACCUGGGAGAGCAACACCACCCCAGCUGCUGGCCCCUUUCUGGGUGACUGCACGGGCCUGGCUGCAUGGAAGAUGGUGAUGCCUCCCAAACUGCAGACCUCCCCUUCUCCCAAAAGGUGCCUUCCCCUAAACCCAAGAGAGACUGAGUAGGCCAGACAUGAAUGACACAACGUGGAAGAGUGUCAUACUUCCUCUGGAGAAGCCUGAAAUAUUUUUGCAGCUGUAGUGGCUCUCAUGGCCGUGGAAUCAACAUGGACACCUGGACUGAGGGAGCCAACAGCCCGAGAAGCUUUUGACAUGCACGUUGCCUGGAUCCAGCUCCCAGCCUACUAACUGUGUUUUAAAAGAGCGCAGAGGAAAAGCUGUGUGAGAUCCUGCGAGGACAGGACGCCUUCUCUCUUUCCCACGGCAAAGAUACGAGGGUGGGUGCAGUGAGCAGCCCCCUAAAAGGAGCGGCAGGAGCUGGAGGGGGAGGGUGUCCCUGCCCAGGAGCACAUGACUCUUUUUCCUUCUCCAACCUGCCACUAACAAUGAUGGUAAAAAGUUAUCUCGUCAAACGACUCGCUGAAAAUUCCUGUAAUGCCGAGUAUCUUUGCACUGGGUUUACGCUUUAAUCUCUUUAUACUUUUAAGACGCUUAUUUAGUUUCCAGAGCAGUGCGGGGAGGACCGCUAAGCGCGCUACUGGUAAUCACUUUUGGGUGGG